GCUUUUGGUUCAGUGGUAGAAUGCUCGCCUGCCACGCGGGCGAUUUCCGGCCGAUGCAUUUUUUUUUUUACAAUUUUUAAAACUCAUUUAUAUAUUAUAGUGGCGGGCGCCCCGGGUUCGAUUCCUGGCCGAUGCA
rnacentral:tRNA from 1 species